CCUACGGGAGUCUGCAGUGGGGAAUAUUGGACAAUGGGCGAAAGCCUGAUCCAGCCAUGCCGCGUGUGUGAAGAAGGCCUUCGGGUUGUAAAGCACUUUCAGUGGGGAAGAAAGCCUUGGGGCUAAUACCCUCGAGGAAGGACAUCACCCACAGAAGAAGCACCGGCUAACUCCGUGCCAGCAGCCGCGGUAAUACGGAGGGUGCGAGCGUUAAUCGGAAUUACUGGGCGUAAAGCGCGCGUAGGCGGUCUGAUAAGCCGGUUGUGAAAGCCCCGGGCUCAACCUGGGAACGGCAUCCGGAACUGUCAGGCUAGAGUGCAGGAGAGGAAGGUAGAAUUCCCGGUGUAGCGGUGAAAUGCGUAGAGAUCGGGAGGAAUACCAGUGGCGAAGGCGGCCUUCUGGACUGACACUGACGCUGAGGUGCGAAAGCGUGGGUAGCAAACAGGAUUAGAUACCCCGGUAGUC
rnacentral:rRNA from 1 species